UAAACAUGGCCAAGUCAAAGAAUCAUACCAAUCACAAUCAGAACCGAAAGGCUCAUCGUAAUCCUAUCCGGAAACCCAAGAUUCCAAGACACCCAUCAAUGCGAGGUGU